rnacentral:rRNA from 1 species
UGGGGGAUAUUGCGCAAUGGGGGAAACCCUGACGCAGCAACGCCGCGUGAAGGAAGAAGGUUUUCGGAUUGUAAACUUCUUUUGUUAAGGACGAAGAAAGUGACGGUACUUAACGAAUAAGCUCCGGCUAACUACGUGCCAGCAGCCGCGGUAAUACGUAGGGAGCGAGCGUUGUCCGGAUUUACUGGGUGUAAAGGGUGCGUAGGCGGCUAGGCAAGUCAGAUGUGAAAUGUAUGGGCUCAACCCAUAAGCUGCAUUUGAAACUGCUUGGCUUGAGUGAAGUAGAGGUAGGCGGAAUUCCCUGUGUAGCGGUGAAAUGCGUAGAGAUAGGGAGGAACACCAGUGGCGAAGGCGGCCUACUGGGCUUUAACUGACGCUGAGGCACGAAAGCGUGGGUAGCAAACAGG